GACGUAGGGCGCGAGCGUUGUCCGGAUUUAUUGGGCGUAAAGGGUGCGUAGGCGGCGCGGUAAGUCGGGUGUGAAAUCUCGGAGCUUAACUCCGAAACUGCAUUCGAUACUGCCGUGCUUGAGGACUGGAGAGGAGACUGGAAUUUACGGUGUAGCGGUGAAAUGCGUAGAUAUCGUAAGGAAGACCAGUGGCGAAGGCGGGUCUCUGGACAGUUCCUGACGCUGAGGCACGAAGGCCAGGGGAGCAAACGGG
rnacentral:rRNA from 1 species